rnacentral:rRNA from 1 species
AAUCAACGCUGGCGGCGUGCCUCAGAUAUGCAAGUCGAACGCGAAAGGCUCCUUCGGGGGCCGAGUAGAGUGGCGCACGGGUGAGUAACACGUAGGUAAUUUGCCUUUGGGUGGGGAAUAACUCAGGGAAACUUGAGCUAAUACCGCAUAAUGCAGCGGCUCGACAUCGAGACAGUUGUUAAAGCGGGGGAUCGCAAGACCUCGCGCCUGAAGAGAAGCCUGCGGCAGAUUAGCUAGUUGGUAGGGUAAUGGCCUACCAAGGCGACGAUCUGUAACCGGCCUGAGAGGGCGGUCGGUCACACUGACACUGACAUACGGGUCAGACUCCUACGGGAGGCAGCAGUCGGGAAUUUUGGGCAAUGGGCGCAAGCCUGACCCAGCAACGCCGCGUGAGGGAUGACGGCC